UACGGAGGGUGCGAGCGUUGCUCGGAAUCACUGGGCGUAAAGCGUACGCAGGCGGUCAUGUAAGUCGGGUGUGAAAUCCCGGGGCUCAACCCCGGAACUGCGCCCGAGACUGCACGACUUGAAUGCGGGAGAGGAAAGCGGAAUUCCUGGUGUAGAGGUGAAAUUCGUAGAUAUCAGGAGGAACACCUGUGGCGAAAGCGGCUUUCUGGCCCGACAUUGACGCUCAUGUACGAAAGCGCGGGGAGCAAACAGG
rnacentral:rRNA from 1 species